rnacentral:rRNA from 1 species
ACCCAAAAACUUUACUUUCGUGUAAGGUGCCGAGCGGGUCAAAAAAUAACACCGCCCGAUCCCUAGUCGGCAUAGUUUAUGGUUAAGACUACGACGGUAUCUGAUCGUCUUCGAUCCCCUAACUUUCGUUCCUGAUUAAUGAAAACAUCCUUGGCAAAUGCUUUCGCAGUAGUUAGUCUUCAAUAAAUCCAAGAAUUUCACCUCUGACAAUUGAAUACUGAUGCCCCCGACUGUCCCUAUUAAUCAUUACGGCGGUCCUAGAAACCAACAAAAUAGAACCGCACGUCCUAUUCUAUUAUUCCAUGCUAAUGUAUUCGAGCAUAGGCCUGCUUUGAACACUCUAAUUUUUUCACAGUAAAAGUCCUGGUUCCCCGACACACCCAGUGAAGGGCAUGCGGCUCCCCAGAGGGAAAGGCCCGGCCGGACCAGUGCACGCGGUGAGGCGGACCGGCCAGCCAGGCCCAAGGUUCAACUACGAGCUUUUUAACUGCAACAACUUUAAUAUACGCUAUUGGAGCUGGAAUUACCGCGGCUGCUGGCACCAGACUUGCCCUCCAAUUGUUCCUCGUUAAGGGAUUUAAAUUGUACUCAUUCCAAUUACAAGACCCAAAAGAGCCCUGUAUCAGUAUUUAUUGUCACUACCUCCCCGUAUCGGGAUUGGGUAAUUUGCGCGCCUGCUGCCUUCCUUGGAUGUAGUAGCCGUUUCUCAGGCUCCUUCUCCGGGGUCGAGCCCUAACCCUCCGUUACCCGUUGUCACCAUGGCUGGCCAAG